rnacentral:rRNA from 1 species
GACGGAGGGGGCUAGCGUUGUUCGGAAUUACUGGGCGUAAAGAGCACGUAGGCGGCGGUGCAAGUUGGGGGUGAAAUCCCGGGGCUCAACCCUGGAAUUGCCUCCAAAACUGUGCUGCUUGAGUUCGGAAGAGGAGAGUGGAAUUCCCAGUGUAGAGGUGAAAUUCGUAGAUAUCAGGAAGAACACCCGUGGCUAAGGCGGUUCUCUAGUACGGUACUGACGCUGAGACGCGAAAGCGUGGGGAGCGAACAGG